UACGGGGGGGGCAAGCGUUGUUCGGAAUUACUGGGCGUAAAGGGCUCGUAGGCGGCCAACUAAGUCGGAUGUGAAAUCCCCAGGCUUAACCUGGGAACUGCAUCCGAUACUGGAUGGCUUGAAUUCGGGAGAGGGAUGCAGAAUUCCAGGUGUAGCGGUGAAAUGCGCAGAUAUCAGGAAGAACACCCGUGGCUAAGGCGGCUCUCUAGUACGUGACUGACGCUGAGACGCGAAAGCGUGGGGAGCGAACAGG
rnacentral:rRNA from 1 species